rnacentral:rRNA from 1 species
GACGAACGCUGGCGGCGUGCCUAAUACAUGCAAGUAGAACGCACAGUUUAUACCGUAGCUUGCUACACCAUAAACUGUGAGUUGCGAACGGGUGAGUAACGCGUAGGUAACCUGCCUGGGAGCGGGGGAUAACUAUUGGAAACGAUAGCUAAUACCGCAUAAUAUUGAUUAUUGCAUGAUAAUUGAUUGAAAGAUGCUAUUGCAUCACUACCAGAUGGACCUGCGUUGUAUUAGCUAGUAGGUGAGGUAACGGCUCACCUAGGCGACGAUACAUAGCCGACCUGAGAGGGUGAUCGGCCACACUGGGACUGAGACACGGCCCAGACUCCUACGGGAGGCAGCAGUAGGGAAUCUUCGGCAAUGGACGAAAGUCUGACCGAGCAACGCCGCGUGAGUGAAGAAGGUUUUCGGAUCGUAAAGCUCUGUUGUAAGAGAAGAACGGGUGUGAGAGUGGAAAGUUCACACUGUGACGGUAUCUUACCAGAAAGGGACGGCUAACUACGUGCCAGCAGCCGCGGUAAUACGUAGGUCCCGAGCGUUGUCCGGAUUUAUUGGGCGUAAAGCGAGCGCAGGCGGUUAGAUAAGUCUGAAGUUAAAGGCUGUGGCUUAACCAUAGUACGCUUUGGAAACUGUUUAACUUGAGUGCAGAAGGGGAGAGUGGAAUUCCAUGUGUAGCGGUGAAAUGAGUAAUAUAUGAGAGGAACACCGGUGCGAAAGCGGUCUCUCUGGUCUGUAACUGAUGCUGCAGCUCCGAAGCGUGGGGAAGCGAACAGGAUUACAUACCCUGGAUAGUCCGAGGGUGAAUCCCACAUUGGAAAUCAAGCUUACCGAGACCGUCAACCCGAGAGACGACGCACCGUGUCCCAACUUUUAUUUACUUUUGUUGACGCGGAUAAAUUAUAUA